rnacentral:rRNA from 1 species
AUCGAACGCUGGCGGCAGGCCUAACACAUGCAAGUCGAACGAGUGGCGGACGGGUGAGUAAUGUCUGGGAAAUUGCCUGAUGGAGGGGGAUAACUACCGGAAACGGUAGCUACUACCGCACACCACCAGCUGUGCCCAGAUGGGAUUAGCCAGUUGGCGGGGUAACGUCUCACCAAGGCGACGAUCCCUACCUGGUCUGAGAGGAUGACCAGCCACACUGGAACUGAGCCACGGCCCAGACUCCUACGGGAGGCAGCAGUGGGGAAUAUUGCGCAAUGGGCGCAAGCCUGAUGCAGCCAUGCCGCGUGUAUGAAGAAGGCCUUCGGGUUGUAAAGUUCUUUCAGCAGGGAGGCGUUACCCGCAGGAGAAGCACCGGCUAACUCCGUGCCAGCAGCCGCGGUAAUUC